rnacentral:rRNA from 1 species
AGCGAACGCUGGCGGCAGGCCUAACACAUGCAAGUCGAACGAAGUCUUCGGACUUAGUGGCGGACGGGUGAGUAACACGUGGGAACGUGCCUUUAGGUUCGGAAUAACUCAGGGAAACUUGUGCUAAUACCGAAUGUGCCCUUCGGGGGAAAGAUUUAUCGCCUUUAGAGCGGCCCGCGUCUGAUUAGCUAGUUGGUGAGGUAAAGGCUCACCAAGGCUACGAUCAGUAGCUGGUCUGAGAGGAUGACCAGCCACAUUGGGACUGAGACACGGCCCAAACUCCUACGGGAGGCAGCAGUGGGGAAUUUUGCGCAAUGGGCGAAAGCCUGACGCAGCCAUGCCGCGUGGAUGAUGAAGGUCUUAGGAUUGCAAAAUCCUUUCACCGGUGAAGAUAAUGACUGUAGCCGGAGAAGAAGCCCCGGCUAACUUCGUGCCAGCCGCCGCAGUAACAC